GGAAGGGUGCAGAGAGUGGUUGAAUCGGCACGCCUGGAAAGCGUGUAUGGCAGCAAUGUCAUCGCGGGUUCGAAUCCCGCCCCUUCCG
rnacentral:tRNA from 1 species